rnacentral:rRNA from 1 species
UACGUAGGGUGCGAGCGUUAAUCGGAAUUACUGGGCGUAAAGCGUGCGCAGGCGGUCUGUUAAGACCGAUGUGAAAUCCCCGGGCUUAACCUGGGAAUGGCAUUUGGGACUGCAAGGCUCGAGUGCGGCAGAGGAGACUGGAAUUCCUGGUGUAGCAGUGAAAUGCGUAGAUAUCAGGAGGAACACCGAUGGCGAAGGCAGGUCUCUGGGCUGACACUGACGCUCAUGCACGAAAGCGUGGGGAGCAAACAGG